GACGCGGUGGCCUAAUGGUUAGCGCGUUGGACUCUGGAUCGAGCGGUCCGGGUUCGAGCCCUGCGUGGCCUGGGUCA